UGGGGAACCAAAGGACAAUAAUUCCAAGAGUAAUUGACCUGGAAAUAAAAAGGAUGCAUAGUUUUUAAAUACUUCAUCAUACCAGCCUGUGCAAAGUGGAAGAGUAGAAGCAGUGGACCGAGAGGUACUAAUAUGGAAUGGGGCUCUUGAGAAACAAAUGUGAUGUAUCAUGAGAAGAGCAGUCAGAGCCCUUUUGGGAAACCUAUAGUUCUGUUUGUGGGACGGGACCAUGAGGCACACACCAAACCUAGAGACAAGACAUUGCUGUGCCAGUAGCCACACUGCAGGUGCCGGCUUUUAGCGCCACCCAGAGUCGCACUGGAAUAACAGCAACAUUGAGCUCUCCUGUUUUUAAGAACCCACGGGCCCCUGAAGCGGAGCAGGACCCCACAAUAUGCAGCCGCUCUCCCUGUGAGGAAGUGGUCAAAGCUGGCAUGAUGUUCUAAGAGCAACUGAUAGAGCACGCACCAUCAGUCCCUGAGAGGGAACACAAAUGGUUCUCAGGGCACCUGAGUGGGAUAUGUCUGUGUGUCUCCAGUG